UUAAGUUAUUAAGGGCGCACGGUGGAUGCCUUGGCACUAGAAGCCGAUGAAGGACGUUACUAACGACGAUAUGCUUUGGGGAGCUGUAAGUAAGCUUUGAUCCAGAGAUUUCCGAAUGGGGAAACCCAGCAUGAGUUAUGUCAUGUUAUCGAUAUGUGAAUACAUAGCAUAUCAGAAGGCACACCCGGAGAACUGAAACAUCUUAGUACCCGGAGGAAGAGAAAGAAAAUUCGAUUCCCUUAGUAGCGGCGAGCGAAACGGGAAGAGCCCAAACCAACAAGCUUGCUUGUUGGGGUUGUAGGACACUCUAUACGGAGUUACAAAGGACGACAUUAGACGAAUCAUCUGGAAAGAUGAAUCAAAGAAGGUAAUAAUCCUGUAGUCGAAAAUGUUGUCUCUCUUGAGUGGAUCCUGAGUACGACGGAGCACGUGAAAUUCCGUCGGAAUCUGGGAGGACCAUCUCCUAAGGCUAAAUACUCUCUAGUGACCGAUAGUGAACCAGUACCGUGAGGGAAAGGUGAAAAGCACCCCGGAAGGGGAGUGAAAUAGAACCUGAAACCGUGUGCUUACAAGUAGUCAGAGCCCGUUAAUGGGUGAUGGCGUGCCUUUUGUAGAAUGAACCGGCGAGUUACGAUUUGAUGCAAGGUUAAGCAGUAAAUGUGGAGCCGUAGCGAAAGCGAGUCUGAAUAGGGCGUUUAGUAUUUGGUCGUAGACCCGAAACCAGGUGAUCUACCCUUGGUCAGGUUGAAGUUCAGGUAACACUGAAUGGAGGACCGAACCGACUUACGUUGAAAAGUGAGCGGAUGAACUGAGGGUAGCGGAGAAAUUCCAAUCGAACCUGGAGAUAGCUGGUUCUCUCCGAAAUAGCUUUAGGGCUAGCCUCAAGUGAUGAUUAUUGGAGGUAGAGCACUGUUUGGACGAGGGGCCCCUCUCGGGUUACCGAAUUCAGACAAACUCCGAAUGCCAAUUAAUUUAACUUGGGAGUCAGAACAUGGGUGAUAAGGUCCGUGUUCGAAAGGGAAACAGCCCAGACCACCAGCUAAGGUCCCAAAAUAUAUGUUAAGUGGAAAAGGAUGUGGCGUUGCCCAGACAACUAGGAUGUUGGCUUAGAAGCAGCCAUCAUUUAAAGAGUGCGUAAUAGCUCACUAGUCGAGUGACACUGCGCCGAAAAUGUACCGGGGCUAAACAUAUUACCGAAGCUGUGGAUUGUCCUUUGGACAAUGGUAGGAGAGCGUUCUAAGGGCGUUGAAGCAUGAUCGUAAGGACAUGUGGAGCGCUUAGAAGUGAGAAUGCCGGUGUGAGUAGCGAAAGACGGGUGAGAAUCCCGUCCACCGAUUGACUAAGGUUUCCAGAGGAAGGCUCGUCCGCUCUGGGUUAGUCGGGUCCUAAGCUGAGGCCGACAGGCGUAGGCGAUGGAUAACAGGUUGAUAUUCCUGUACCACCUAUAAUCGUUUUAAUCGAUGGGGGGNNUAAGGCUGAGCUGUGAUGGGGAGAAGACAUUGUGUCUUCGAGUCGUUGAUUUCACACUGCCGAGAAAAGCCUCUAGAUAGAAAAUAGGUGCCCGUACCGCAAACCGACACAGGUAGUCAAGAUGAGAAUUCUAAGGUGAGCGAGCGAACUCUCGUUAAGGAACUCGGCAAAAUGACCCCGUAACUUCGGGAGAAGGGGUGCUCUUUAGGGUUAACGCCCAGAAGAGCCGCAGUGAAUAGGCCCAAGCGACUGUUUAUCAAAAACACAGGUCUCUGCUAAACCGUAAGGUGAUGUAUAGGGGCUGACGCCUGCCCGGUGCUGGAAGGUUAAGAGGAGUGGUUAGCUUCUGCGAAGCUACGAAUCGAAGCCCCAGUAAACGGCGGCCGUAACUAUAACGGUCCUAAGGUAGCGAAAUUCCUUGUCGGGUAAGUUCCGACCCGCACGAAAGGCGUAACGAUUUGGGCACUGUCUCAACGAGAGACUCGGUGAAAUCAUAGUACCUGUGAAGAUGCAGGUUACCCGCGACAGGACGGAAAGACCCCGUGGAGCUUUACUGUAGCCUGAUAUUGAAAUUCGGCACAGCUUGUACAGGAUAGGUAGGAGCCUUUGAAACGUGAGCGCUAGCUUACGUGGAGGCGCUGGUGGGAUACUACCCUAGCUGUGUUGGCUUUCUAACCCGCACCACUUAUCGUGGUGGGAGACAGUGUCAGGCGGGCAGUUUGACUGGGGCGGUCGCCUCCUAAAAGGUAACGGAGGCGCUCAAAGGUUCCCUCAGAAUGGUUGGAAAUCAUUCAUAGAGUGUAAAGGCAUAAGGGAGCUUGACUGCGAGACCUACAAGUCGAGCAGGGUCGAAAGACGGACUUAGUGAUCCGGUGGUUCCGCAUGGAAGGGCCAUCGCUCAACGGAUAAAAGCUACCCCGGGGAUAACAGGCUUAUCUCCCCCAAGAGUUCACAUCGACGGGGAGGUUUGGCACCUCGAUGUCGGCUCAUCGCAUCCUGGGGCUGUAGUCGGUCCCAAGGGUUGGGCUGUUCGCCCAUUAAAGCGGUACGCGAGCUGGGUUCAGAACGUCGUGAGACAGUUCGGUCCCUAUCCGUCGUGGGCGUAGGAAAUUUGAGAGGAGCUGUCCUUAGUACGAGAGGACCGGGAUGGACAUACCUCUGGUGUACCAGUUGUCGUGCCAACGGCAUAGCUGGGUAGCUAUGUGUGGACGGGAUAAGUGCUGAAAGCAUCUAAGCAUGAAGCCCCCCUCAAGAUGAGAUUUCCCAACUUCGGUUAUAAGAUCCCUCAAAGAUGAUGAGGUUAAUAGGUUCGAGGUGGAAGCAUGGUGACAUGUGGAGCUGACGAAUACUAAUCGAUCGAAGACUUAAUCAA
rnacentral:rRNA from 1 species